AUUGAACGCUGGCGGAAUGCUUUACACAUGCAAGUCGAACGGUAGAGGGGGCAACCCCUCGAGAGUGGCGAACGGGUGAGUAAUAUAUCGGAACGUGCCCAGUCGUGGGGGAUAACGUAGCGAAAGUUACGCUAAUACCGCAUACGAGCUAAGGAUGAAAGCGGGGGAUCGCAAGUCCUCGCGCGAUUGGAGCGGGCGAUAUCAGAUUAGGUAGUGGGUGGGGUAAAGGCUCACCAAGCCAACGAUCUGUAGCUGGUCUGAGAGGACGACCAGCCACACUGGAACUGAGACACGGUCCAGACUCCUACGGGAGGCAGCAGUGGGGAAUUUUGGACAAUGGACGCAAGUCUGAUCCAGCCAUUCCGCGUGCAGGAUGAAGGCCCUCGGGUUGUAAACUGCUUUUGUACGGAACGAAAAGGUCUCUCUUAAUACGGGGGACUCAUGACGGUACCGUAAGAAUAAGCACCGGCUAACUACGUGCCAGCCGCCGCGGUAA
rnacentral:rRNA from 1 species